UGCAAAGAGUCUUCCAUGUAUCUGCUGCCGCUUUGCAAGAAAUGACAUGAGCAAAAUUGCUUUCAUCUAAAUUAGUGGCAAUUAUGCCAAAAGCCUUCUUCUCUUGUCUUUUGAAGUCUUUUUGCUCAUUGAUGCUUGCCUCUAUCCCAGGUGCAAGUUCCUCCUCAUCUACUAUCUCCCAAAGAUCCAAUGAUACCAAAAGUAGCUUCAUUUUGGCCUUCCAGUGGUGAAAGUUAUCACCUCUAAACUUUUCAACAACUCUUAAGCUAUCA
rnacentral:lncRNA from 1 species